GGAAAGAGCCCAAAUACUCUGGAGGCACCAGAUCCCAACUGAUCUUGGAAGCUAAGCAUUGUCAACCCUGGUUAGUACUUGGUUGGGAGUCUGUCAAUGACUACCUGGCACUGUUAGCU
rnacentral:rRNA from 1 species